rnacentral:rRNA from 1 species
AUUGAACGCUGGCGGCAUGCCUUACACAUGCAAGUCGAACGGCAGCACGGGAGCAAUCCUGGUGGCGAGUGGCGAACGGGUGAGUAAAGUAUCGGAACGUGCCCAGUCGUGGGGGAUAACGUAGCGAAAGUUACGCUAAUACCGCAUACGAUCUAUGGAUGAAAGCGGGGGAUCGCAAGACCUCGCGCGAUUGGAGCGGCCGAUAUCAGAUUAGGUAGUUGGUGGGGUAAAGGCUCACCAAGCCGACGAUCUGUAGCUGGUCUGAGAGGACGACCAGCCACACUGGGACUGGGACACGGCCCAGACUCCUACGGGAGGCAGCAGUGGGGAAUUUUGGACAAUGGGCGAAAGCCUGAUCCAGCCAUGCCGCGUGCAGGAUGAAGGCCUUCGGGUUGUAGACUGCUUUUGUACGGAACGAAAAGGUUUGGCCUAAUAAGCUGAGCUCAUGACGGUACCGUAAGAAUAAACACCGGCUAACUACGUGCCAGCCGCCGCCGUAA